AGAGAGAGACAUGCGCGCAUAUCAAUAAGCGGAGGAAAAGAAACUAACAAGGAUCCCUUAGUAACGGCGAGUGAAGCGGGAAGAGCUCAAAUUUGAAAUCUUCAAGGUUUUACCUUGACGAAUUGUAGUUUAAAGAAGUGUUUUCUGCUGAAGUUUUGGUAAAAGUUCUUUGGAAUAGGACAUCAUAGAGGGUGAGAAUCCCGUAUUUGACCAUUAUUUUCAGCUUUGUGAUACACUUUCAAAGAGUCGGAUUGUUUGGGAAUGCAGUCCAAAGAUGGGUGGUAAAUUUCAUCUAAAGCUAAAUAUUGGCGAGAGACCGAUAGCGAACAAGUACCGUGAGGGAAAGAUGAAAAGAACUUUGAAAAGAGAGUUAAACAGUACGUGAAAUUGUCAAAAGGGAAGCGUUUGACACCAGUGUUGUUUUCUCGAAAAUCAAUUAAAAAUGGCUCGAUUUUGUAUUGCUGAGACCUUAAAAGCUCACUGUACAUUUUUCGUAUCUUUUUUAAUGCACUUUUCGUUUAACAAGUCAACAUCAGUUUCUUUUGUUGUAAAAGGGUCAUUGGAAGGUGGCUUUCUUUUCGGAGAAAGUGUUUAUAGCCUUUGGCCUCUGCAAUCGAAGAGACUGAGGUCUGCAGCGUAGACUCUUCGGGGUUAGAUACAUUUGUGCUAAGUUAUAGCUUUUUAUAGACAACUUGUUGACUAUAAUUAGUCUUGUAGCUUACUCGCUUAUGCUAUUUUACCUACGCUUAGGAUGUUGAAGAUGUAGCACAUCAU
rnacentral:rRNA from 1 species